GACGAACGCUGGCGGCGUGCUUAACACAUGCAAGUCGAACGGAAAGGCCCUGCUUUUGUGGGGUGCUCGAGUGGCGAACGGGUGAGUAACACGUGAGUAACCUGCCCUUGACUUUGGGAUAACUUCAGGAAACUGGGGCUAAUACCGGAUAGGAGCUCCUGCUGCAUGGUGGGGGUUGGAACGUUUCGGCGGUUGGGGAUGGACUCGCGGCUUAUCAGCUUGUUGGUGGGGUAGUGGCUUACCAAGGCUUUGACGGGUAGCCGGCCUGAGAGGGUGACCGGCCACAUUGGGACUGAGAGACGGCCCAGAGUCCUACGGGAGGCAGCAGGGGGGAAUAUUGCACAAUGGGCGGAAGCCUGAUGCAGCAACGCCGCGUGCGGGAUGACGGCCUUCGGGUUGUAAACCGCUUUCGCCUGUGACGAAGCGUGAGUGACGGUAAUGGGUAAAGAAGCACCGGCUAACUACGUG
rnacentral:rRNA from 1 species